UUAAUUGAAACCAAAAAGAGGUAUAUCACUGUUAAUGAUAUCAUUGAAUAAUUUAAUAUUCCAAUUAAGA
rnacentral:tRNA from 1 species